GUGCCAGCAGCCGCGGUAAUACGUAGGGUGCGAGCGUUAAUCGGAAUUACUGGGCGUAAAGCGUGCGCAGGCGGUUUGUUAAGACCGAUGUGAAAUCCCCGGGCUCAACCUGGGAACUGCAUUGGUGACUGGCAAGCUAGAGUAUGGCAGAGGGGGGUAGAAUUCCACGUGUAGCAGUGAAAUGCGUAGAGAUGUGGAGGAAUACCGAUGGCGAAGGCAGCCCCCUGGGCCAAUACUGACGCUCAUGCACGAAAGCGUGGGGAGCAAACAGGAUUAGAUACCCUGGUAGUCC
rnacentral:rRNA from 1 species